GAACACAAAACACAUUAAAGAUGACCGAGAUAUAAGGCCUGACAUUUGCCAAAAAAAAAUUUCUGGACACUUAGAAUAUUUUCUGGGUUUGAAAAACAGCCGGUCAAUGCCGGUCAACCCACUUUGACCGCUUAUAAAUCCCGAUCUACAAUAGAUAUAGACCUGAUUCCUUUUGGAGUUUAAAGACCACAUAACAAGCUACACCUAACAACUUUUAAACAACAAAAACAGUAAAUAAUCACAGAGAUAUAAGUCUUGACAUUUGCCCAAAAAUCACAGAAUUCGGUUUUUCCAACUUGCUCAAAUCUUCAAAUUCGUGCACUUUGAUGUUAUGGGUCUGUGUUUUUACAACCCAGAACAUUAAUAGACUCCCUAUUACACAACUUUAAACAAUCAAUUGCAUCAAUUAACAUCGAAUCGAAGGAUUUCUAGAAUUUAAGGUUUCCUACCUUUUCAAGCUUGAUUUUUGAUUUCUGACUUCUUGAUGCUUCUGAUUUGUUGUUUGUGAUGGCUGGGCUUUGAUUAUGAGCUUAUGGGCAAGACAAUUUCGGAGGUUUGGGGUUGAGAGAAAAUAGCUAAGUGUUUG
rnacentral:lncRNA from 1 species